GUGCUCUCUUUGGCAACACAUAGACUAAAAUCUGAACUAUACAGAGAAGAUUAGCAAGGCCCCUGCACAAGGAUGACAUGCAAGUUCGUGAAAGGUUCCAUAUUUUU